AUCAGAACGUAUGAAUAUUAGGUGAGGAAAAUAUAGAGUAGUUCCAGACUUCUCUUAUAAGUAAUUUGAGAUAUAAGUUAUGUAUUGAGCUUGAUUGAUUUAAUAGAAGACCGUGACAAUAAGUAAGAGUGCAUCAACCAGUGAUGAUAAAAAAUAAGACUAUGACCCUCCUCCUGUGUCCUUCCAGACGAAUCUAUAUAAUACAUAUGAAAUCAAUGUUCUCAUCCUGGUUUGAUCUAUGAAUAGCUAAUAAUACAUAACAUUUCCCUCUAAAGAUAAUUGGUGUUUCGGCUCAAAGUAUUGUUUCGUUUGAUCUUAAGUUGGUCGGUGUUGUGACGUUGAUCCCACGAAUCCAAGAUUGCAUAAAACGUCUAGUGCAUUG
rnacentral:lncRNA from 1 species